AUUGAACGCUGGCGGCAUGCCUUACACAUGCAAGUCGAACGGCAGCACGGGUGCUUGCACCUGAUGGCGAGUGGCGAACGGGUGAGUAAUAUAUCGGAACGUACCUUAUAGUGGGGGAUAACGCAGCGAAAGCUGUGCUAAUACCGCAUAAUCCCUAAGGGGGAAAGCGGGGGACCGUAAGGCCUCGCGCAAUUAGAGCGGCCGAUACCUGAUUAGCUAGUUGGUGAGGUAAAGGCUCACCAAGGCAACGAUCAGUAGCUGGUCUGAGAGGACGAUCAGCCACACUGGGACUGAGACACGGCCCAGACUCCUACGGGAGGCAGCAGUGGGGAAUUUUGGACAAUGGGGGCAACCCUGAUCCAGCAAUGCCGCGUGAGUGAAGAAGGCCUUCGGGUUGUAAAGCUCUUUUGUCAGGGAAGAAACAGCAGCUCUAACACAGUAUGCGAAUGACGGUACCUGAAGAAUAAGCACCGGCUAACUACGUGCCAGCCGCCGCAGUAA
rnacentral:rRNA from 1 species